rnacentral:rRNA from 1 species
AGAGUUUGAUCCNGGCUCAGGAUGAACGCUGGCGGCGUGCCUAAUACAUGCAAGUCGAGCGAAUGGAUUGAGAGCUUGCUCUCAAGAAGUUAGCGGCGGACGGGUGAGUAACACGUGGGUAACCUGCCCAUAAGACUGGGAUAACUCCGGGAAACCGGAGCUAAUACCGGAUAAUUCUUUUCUACACAUGUAGAAAAGCUGAAAGAUGGCUUCGGCUGUCACUUAUGGAUGGACCCGCGUCGCAUUAGCUAGUUGGUGAGGUAACGGCUCACCAAGGCAACGAUGCGUAGCCGACCUGAGAGGGUGAUCGGCCACACUGGGACUGAGACACGGCCCAGACUCCUACGGGAGGCAGCAGUAGGGAAUCUUCCGCAAUGGACGAAAGUCUGACGGAGCAACGCCGCGUGAGUGAUGAAGGCUUUCGGGUCGUAAAACUCUGUUGUUAGGGAAGAACAAGUGCUAGUUGAAUAAGCUGGCACCUUGACGGUACCUAACCAGAAAGCCACGGCUAACUACGUGCCAGCAGCCGCGGUAAUACGUAGGUGGCAAGCGUUGUCCGGAAUUAUUGGGCGUAAAGCGCGCGCAGGCGGUUUCUUAAGUCUGAUGUGAAAGCCCACGGCUCAACCGUGGAGGGUCAUUGGAAACUGGGGAACUUGAGUGCAGAAGAGGAGAGUGGAAUUCCACGUGUAGCGGUGAAAUGCGUAGAGAUGUGGAGGAACACCAGUGGCGAAGGCGACUCUCUGGUCUGUAACUGACGCUGAGGCGCGAAAGCAUGGGGAGCGAACAGGAUUAGAUACCCUGGUAGU